UGUCUGCAGAGUUCUCAUGCACCACAAAUGAAAACAGUCCACAUGUUCAAAAAACACAACAAUGAACAUGAUCUUUAUUACACUAGUCAUCUAGACAGGACUAUCUUAACACAGUAACACAUUUGCAAGAAAAAAAAAAGUUCAAAGUAUGAAAUGGUUACACAAACAGCAUACAAAAAAAAAACAAAACUACAGUUCGUCAUUUUAAAUAGUUUCACAAUAAGUUCGAUAUAAGAUUACAAAAACAUGUAUUUUCAUCGGGAUAGUUUAAGAAGUCCAU